GUUCCUGAGAGACUGUAUGACUCAGAUCCUGAGUAACUCUAGACACUCAUCACAACCUACGACACAGAACACAGAUCAACAGAACUCUGAUCUGGUAAACAUGGACAGACACUUGGUUCUGAUAUUAAUCAUGACUUCAGGUGCAAUGGCUGCAGACCAGAUAAAACCAAAUAAGGAUGCAAAUGUCAUCAGUACAGAAGGAGAGUCUGUGACCCUCAGCUGCUCAUAUGAUACAAGCAGCAGAUUUGUUAGACUUUACUGGUACAGACAGUAUCUUAAUAAAGAACCUCAGUAUUUAAUGUGGAAAGAAGCUCGAGAUUGGAGUAGUACUGGGACCCCCGCUGAUCCUCGCUUUCGGUCGACUACAUCAGAAACAUCCACUGAACUCAUUAUUACUGGUGUAACUCUCUCAGAUUCAGCUCUCUAUUAUUGUGCUCUAAGAGUUGGAGCCCAGUGA